rnacentral:lncRNA from 1 species
UUUAUCUUUCUUGUUUAAGGCACUGAAUUUGCCCAGAGUUCUACCAUAUCAAGUCUUCCAUUCUACCAUAUUAACUGCACAGAGUGUAACAAAAUAUACAUUAUUUUUCUGUUGAGCUUUUAACUCAAUUUACUCUAAGUAUUCCAUUAUUACAAAGGAGGCCGACUGGUGCAGUGUUUUGCUUGUCCUAUUCAUUCAGGUCCUCAAGGUAUUUUCCUUUUCUCUUAUACAGUUCUUGAAUUUGCCUAAUUUUUUUUCUCUUGAUAAUUCCUCAACUUAUUCAGGUAACUGGGAUUUAUAUUCUUGUAUGUAGAUUCUUCUUCCUGCUUUUCUCCUUAACACCAGAUCCCAAUGUCUUCUUCACAAACUGUAGCUUACUGUUGAAUGCAAUAAUAGUGCCAUUGAUUAACUUUGGAAAUUUCAUAAACUAGGCACAAGAAAAUAAGUUCAGUCAAAUAUUUCUAUUUCACUAAACUGUUCUUUCAAAUCUCUUGCACAACCGCUUUCAGUUAUAUAGGAUUUAUCACA